UACGUAGGUGGCAAGCGUUGUCCGGAUUUACUGGGCGUAAAGGGCGUGCAGGCGGUUCGUUAAGUGCAGGGUGAAAGCUCCCGGCUCAACUGGGAGAGGUCCUUGCAUACUGGCAAACUCGAGGGAGGCAGAGGAAAGUGGAAUUCCCGGUGUAGUGGUGAUAUGCGUAGAUAUCGGGAGGAACACCUGUGGCGAAGGCGGCUUUCUGGGUCCUUACCGUGACGCUGAGACGCGAAAGCGUGGGGAGCGAACCGGG
rnacentral:rRNA from 1 species